UACGUAGGGGGCAAGCGUUUGUCCGGAUUAUUGGGCGUAAAGAGCGUGUAGGCGGCUUUACAGGUCCGUUGUGAAAACUCGAGGCUCAACCUCGAGACGCCGGUGGAAACCGUAAAGCUAGAGUCCGGAAGAGGAGAGUGGAAUUCCUGGUGUAGCGGUGAAAUGCGCAGAUAUCAGGAAGAACACCCGUGGCGAAGGCGGCUCUCUGGGACGGUACUGACGCUGAGACGCGAAAGCGUGGGGAGCGAACAGG
rnacentral:rRNA from 1 species